CCUACGGGAGGCUGCAGCAGUGGGGAAUAUUGCGCAAUGGGCGCAAGCCUGAUGCAGCCAUGCCGCGUGUGUGAAGAAGGCCUUCGGGUUGUAAAGCACUUUCAGCGGGGAGGAAGGCGGUGAGGUUAAUAACCUCAUCGAUUGACGUUACCCGCAGAAGAAGCACCGGCUAACUCCGUGCCAGCAGCCGCGGUAAUACGGAGGGUGCAAGCGUUAAUCGGAAUUACUGGGCGUAAAGCGCACGCAGGCGGUCUGUCAAGUCGGAUGGGAAAUCCCCGGGCUCAACCUGGGAACUGCAUUCGAAACUGGCAGGCUAGAGUCUUGUAGAGGGGGGUAGAAUUCCAGGUGUAGCGGUGAAAUGCGUAGAGAUCUGGAGGAAUACCGGUGGCGAAGGCGGCCCCCUGGACAAAGACUGACGCUCAGGUGCGAAAGCGUGGGGAGCAAACAGGAUUAGAUACCCGAUAGUC
rnacentral:rRNA from 1 species